AAAUUGAAGAGUUUGAUCAUGGCUCAGAUUGAACGCUGGCGGCAGGCCUAACACAUGCAAGUCGAACGGUAGCACAGAGAGCUUGCUCUCGGGUGACGAGUGGCGGACGGGUGAGUAAUGUCUGGGAAACUGCCUGAUGGAGGGGGAUAACUACUGGAAACGGUAGCUAAUACCGCAUAACGUCGCAAGACCAAAGAGGGGGACCUUCGGGCCUCUUGCCAUCAGAUGUGCCCAGAUGGGAUUAGCUAGUAGGUGGGGUAA
rnacentral:rRNA from 1 species